rnacentral:lncRNA from 1 species
UUUGAUAAAUAGGAUUGAAAUUGGAAGAAGUGACCAUCGGCAAGUAGUCUGUGCCGAUGCACCGCAGCUCUGUGCUCUGGCAGGGCGCUGACCUCCCUGCUCUCUCUCACUGGGAAACGCCCCGAUAACCAAUGGAGAAGUGAAUGGCGCAGAAAGCUAUGAGGCUUUUUUCUUUUCUUUUUCUGAUCUAGGAAAGGAGAAGAAGGAAAAAGAUAGGACAAACUCCCAGGUGAAUUCCAAAUCAAUGCUAGCCAGGUGGGGAGGAGAGUGGAAAUGGAGGAGGAAUGUUGUUGUCUUUUUGGAAGACUGUCUAAAGUUCCUGCUGCAGGAAACCAGCUCUCUCUCCCCUCCCCCUCCCUCCACGUCAAAGAAAGUGUGGCAAAUUAUUCUCAGCUCCAUGUUCGUUGGUAGAGGCAUCCAGGUUUAUCCCCAGCUGGAGAAAAGAUACCUAACAAACAUAGCUGCUCUUGCAGGACCACUGCGUGCAGAAGAUAAAUGUCAUCAAGCUCCCAUCUAUUUAUAUGUGCCAUGAAGUUGGAAGCAAGAAAAUGAGAGCUUCAAAAAGGUAAAAUGUGUGUGUGUGUAUCUAUCUAUCUAUAUAAAAAUAAAAGAAAACAAAAUCUUAUCCA